rnacentral:tRNA from 1 species
GCUUGUGGCUCAGUGAUAUAGUGCUCGCCUCACAUGUGUGAGGCCCUGGGUUUGAUUUUCAGCACCGCA